GACGAACGCUGGCGGCGUGCUUAACACAUGCAAGUCGAGCGAUGAAGCUCCUUCGGGAGUGGAUUAGCGGCGGACGGGUGAGUAACACGUGGGUAACCUGCCUCAUAGAGGGGAAUAGCCUUUCGAAAGGAAGAUUAAUACCGCAUAAGAUUGUAGCUUCGCAUGAAGCAGCAAUUAAAGGAGCAAUCCGCUAUGAGAUGGGCCCGCGGCGCAUUAGCUAGUUGGUGAGGUAACGGCUCACCAAGGUGACGAUGCGUAGCCGACCUGAGAGGGUGAUCGGCCACAUUGGGACUGAGACACGGCCCAGACUCCUACGGGAGGCAGCAGUGGGGAAUAUUGCACAAUGGGGGAAACCCUGAUGCAGCAACGCCGCGUGAGUGAUGACGGCCUUCGGGUUGUAAAGCUCUGUCUUCAGGGACGAUAAUGACGGUACCUGAGGAGGAAGCCACGGCUAACUACGUGCCAGCCGCCGCGGUAA
rnacentral:rRNA from 1 species